rnacentral:tRNA from 1 species
GCGUUGGUGGUGUAAUGGUCAGCAUAGUUGCCUUCCAAGCAGUUGAUCCAGGUUCGAUACCCGGCCAACGCA